AGAGUUUGAUCAUGGCUCAGAACGAACGCUGGCGGCAGGCUUAACACAUGCAAGUCGAGCGCCCCGCAAGGGGAGCGGCAGACGGGUGAGUAACGCGUGGGAAUCUACCCAUCUCUACGGAACAACUCCGGGAAACUGGAGCUAAUACCGUAUACGUCCUUCGGGAGAAAGAUUUAUCGGAGAUGGAUGAGCCCGCGUUGGAUUAGCUAGUUGGUGGGGUAAUGGCCUACCAAGGCGACGAUCCAUAGCUGGUCUGAGAGGAUGAUCAGCCACACUGGGACUGAGACACGGCCCAGACUCCUACGGGAGGCAGCAGUGGGGAAUAUUGGACAAUGGGCGGAAGCCUGAUCCAGCCAUGCCGCGUGAGUGAUGAAGGCCCUAGGGUUGUAAAGCUCUUUCAACGGUGAAGAUAAUGACGGUAACCGUAGAAGAAGCCCCGGCUAACUUCGUGCCAGCAGCCGCGGUAAUACGAAGGGGGCUAGCGUUGUUCGGAAUUACUGGGCGUAAAGCGCACGUAGGCGGAUACUUAAGUCAGGGGUGAAAUCCCGGGGCUCAACCCCGGAACUGCCUUUGAUACUGGGUAUCUCGAGUCCGGAAGAGGUGAGUGGAAUUCCGAGUGUAGAGGUGAAAUUCGUAGAUAUUCGGAGGAACACCAGUGGCGAAGGCGGCUCACUGGUCCGGUACUGACGCUGAGGUGCGA
rnacentral:rRNA from 1 species